AUUGAACGCUGGCGGCAGGCCUAACACAUGCAAGUCGAGCGGUAGAGAGAAGCUUGCUUCUCUUGAGAGCGGCGGACGGGUGAGUAAUGCCUAGGAAUCUGCCUGGUAGUGGGGGAUAACGUUCGGAAACGGACGCUAAUACCGCAUACGUCCUACGGGAGAAAGCAGGGGACCUUCGGGCCUUGCGCUAUCAGAUGAGCCUAGGUCGGAUUAGCUAGUUGGUGAGGUAAUGGCUCACCAAGGCGACGAUCCGUAACUGGUCUGAGAGGAUGAUCAGUCACACUGGAACUGAGACACGGUCCAGACUCCUACGGGAGGCAGCAGUGGGGAAUAUUGGACAAUGGGCGAAAGCCUGAUCCAGCCAUGCCGCGUGUGUGAAGAAGGUCUUCGGAUUGUAAAGCACUUUAAGUUGGGAGGAAGGGCAUUAACCUAAUACGUUAGUGUUUUGACGUUACCGACAGAAUAAGCACCGGCUAACUCUGUGC
rnacentral:rRNA from 1 species